UACGUAGGGGGCAAGCGUUGUCCGGAAUUAUUGGGCGUAAAGAGCGUGUAGGCGGUCCGGUAAGUCGGCUGUGAAAGUCCAGGGCUCAACCCUGGGAUGCCGGUCGAUACUGCCGGACUAGAGUUCGGAAGAGGCGAGUGGAAUUCCUGGUGUAGCGGUGAAAUGCGCAGAUAUCAGGAGGAACACCGAUGGCGAAGGCAGGUCUCUGGGCCACUACUGACGCUGAGAAGCGAAAGCGUGGGGAGCGAACAGG
rnacentral:rRNA from 1 species